rnacentral:rRNA from 1 species
AGAGUUUGAUCCUGGCUCAGGAUGAACGCUAGCGGCAGGCUUAACACAUGCAAGUCGAGGGGCAGCAAGGGUAGCAAUACCUGUUGGCGACCGGCAAACGGGUGCGGAACACGUACACAAUCUACCUUUAUCUGGGGUAUAGCCCGAAGAAAUUCGGAUUAAUCCCCCAUAAAAUAGCAGAGAAGCAUUUCUUAACUAUUAAAACUCCGGUGGAUAAAGAUGAGUGUGCGUCCCAUUAGCUAGUUGGUAGGGUAACGGCCUACCAAGGCGACGAUGGGUAGCUGGUGUGAGAGCACGACCAGCCACACGGGCACUGAGACACGGGCCCGACUCCUACGGGAGGCAGCAGUGAGGAAUAUUGGUCAAUGGACGCAAGUCUGAACCAGCCAUGCCGCGUGAAGGAUGAAGGCCCUCCGGGUUGUAAACUUCUUUUACCGGGGAAGAAAACUAUGGUUUCUACUAUAGCCGACGGUACCCGAGGAAUAAGCACCGGCUAACUCCGUG